CAGCCGCCACGGGAAUACAGAGGGUGCGUGCGUUAAUCGGAUUUACUGGGCGUAAAGCGUGCGUAGGCGGCUUUUUAAGUCGGAUGUGAAAUCCCUGAGCUUAACUUAGGAAUUGCAUUCGAUACUGGGAAGCUAGAGUAUGGGAGAGGAUGGUAGAAUUCUAGGUGUAGCGGUGAAAUGCGUAGAGAUCUGGAGGAAUACCGAUGGCGAAGGCAGCCAUCUGGCCUAAUACUGACGCUGAGGUACGAAAGCAUGGGGAGCAAACAGGAUUAGAUACCCCAGUAGUCCCUGUCUCUUAUAA
rnacentral:rRNA from 1 species